rnacentral:lncRNA from 1 species
AGCAGCCGGGGCCGCUACCUGCCUUUAAGGGGAGGGAGCCUGGCGCUCCGCCUGCGCGGGGGGGGAGGGGAGGGGCGGGGAGAAGCCGGAGCAGGCCCCGCCCCUCGGAGCCCCCCCUCGCGGCUGAGGGGAACUGGAGGGGCUGCCCCCCCAGAUGUGCGAAGCUGAAUCCCCCCCCCCCCGAGUUCACCCCGAAGUGCGCGAAGAGGGCGGGGGGCUCUGGGGAGGAAGGGCUUUGUGGGCCGGGGCGUAUUGCCUGUCCCCCCCCCCUUUCCCAAGGAUGCCUCUCCAGCCUCACUAUGGACAGACAUUAGAGUCCUGUAUAUUCUCCAAAGACACCCAGAGAGCAAGGGCUGUACAUCUGUGAGGUGUAUCUGGCGAGGUAGGGAUGCCAUUUGUUCUCUUUUAGCACUGCAGACUAGGUGUGUCUUAGAAUCUUGGGCAAAGCUUUUAAAUCGCCUCUGAACAUGGGCAAAGUGUAUAAUAUACAAUAUAUACUAUAAUGUCUAAAAAAAUGCAUGUAUAAUUUUUAUGCAUUCUGAAGAUAUGUUCUUUGUAUUACUAGAAGAUAUUGAAAUAAUGUUUCGUCUCCAUUCAGAAGGUAUUGAUUAGAUGCUAAUGUGUGUGCAUGUAAAAUGUAUUUUGCAUGAGGACCCACAAAGUAUGGACACCACUUAAGAGGAGUUGCUGCUAGUGGGACUGAUUUCCCCCCCUUUCAGUUGUGGAUUUAUUGAGCAAUAACUUGGAGUGACUACUGUUUUACUUUCCUCACAAACUGCUUCAAAAUUCCUUUUACAAUGUUUUAUCCCAGUUGCAGAACAAAAAGAAACUUAAUUUAAGGUAUUUUACUCAUAAGAGAAACCAGUUUAUAUAAAAUAAAAUUAUGGAAAUGUUGGGAAAGGUCUAAAGACAUAUUUUACUUUCUCUCUUUCCUUAGGCUGUUGGGUUUUUUAUUUAAUGAAAGUCCAAAUUUGCCCUUUAACUUUUAUAUAAGGGAAACUUUAGUCUUGUCAACACAAACUGAAGUAUUACUUUGUAAGAACUGUUGGCAGGUGGCUGGUCUAGACAAGAAGGUGGAUGAGAUUGCACUGGCCUUGAGGGAUCAAGGUGCACUUAGAUCCGCCUUUGGCCCUCGAGGUGCAAGUGGUGACAGGGUCUCCCUUGGCUAAUGCUUAUGUUCCGGCUGCCUAAAUGCAGUUAUCCACGCUCUGGUAACAUCCAGGUUAGACUAUGGGUUUUCCUUUGAAUGCUGCUCAGAAGCUUCAGCUGCAAGGCUGUUGAUUGGGAUCAAUAGGUGGGAACACAUCUCACUGAAUCUUAAGUACAGUGGUACCUCGGGUUACAUACGCUUCAGGUUACAGACUCCGCUAACCCAGAAAUAGUACCUCGGGUUAAGAACUUUGCUUCAGGAUGAGAAGAGAAAUUGUGCAGUUUCAGGUUAAGAACAGACCUCCGGAAUGAAUUAAGUACGUAACCAGAGGUACCACUGUAGUGGCAUUAGUUGCUAUUCUCUUUUUGAACAUGUUCUUAGCUUGGGAUCAAAAUGCCUGAAGGAAUGCCUGCCUCCAAAGCAGCCUGUGCUUGCUUAGUUCAUCAUCAGAGGCCCAUCUCCAAGUUCCCCCACUAUUGGAAGUGAAGUGGGUGGGGACUGAAGAGAGGGUCUUUUAAAUUGUAGCACCACAUUUUUGGAAUUUUCUCCUUGAGGAAGCUUGCCUGGUGCCUCCUUGGCUAUCUUUUCAAUACCAGGGGACACCUUUUUAAAUUUUUUCCUAGUGUAUAAUUGUUAAACUGUGAUUACUGUAUCACUACAUUUUUAAAAGACUGUAAUAUAUAUUUAUUGUAUUGCUGAAAUAAAUGUUUUACUACAUAUUAUGCCACUGUGAUACUAUUUAUAUUGUUGGGUGACACAGAAGCAGAGGAGCGCUGCUUCUGAUGGUGGGGUGUCUGUUCCAACAGGGAUCUGAACAGGUGGUAAGCAGACCUCUCUCUUGUAGUCAACAGAAAGUCCUGAAGUAGUGUGUUGCAGGGAUCGGGCCAGGGCACCAGUCAGCACUCUGCAUAUCACCCAACUGCCCCAAUCUUUGGGCCCUCCACCUUCUGCCCUGCCCUUUUAGGAUUGCUCUACCUAUCAGCAUUUCCCCUAUGCACAAGCAAUCGAGUGGUGCUAGCACAUUUACAAAGUUAAGCAGGGUCCUGUAUGCUUUCAGUCCUGAACAUUGCUAACAACCUAAUGAACAACCUAACCUGUGAGCCAGACAGUUGUGUGUACAUCAGUUUUACUGCAGCAACCAUGGAAAUAUUUUUGGGAUGCUUCUCUUGGCUUAUAUUUUCCAACUACUGUGAUUCAAAGCAAUACCUUUUACUGGACCCAAGUUGUUCUUGAGUUUGGAAUAAGGAAAAAUCAGGCAAGGAUGCCACUAUUUAUUUUAUUAAGAGGUUCCCUCCCCAGCUAUUGAUAUUUUACACCAGGGCUGAUAUUUUACACCAGUGUAUACAAACACUUGGUUGCCAGCUGAAAGACUUAAGUCAUAUUGGUUGCUUAUUACUUUAUGAGAAGGCUCAGUUUUUUAGCAGCUUGUUCAAUAGUUCCUGAAUCAGAUUGCUCACUGAAGAGUUCACUGUUUGACUUUUCUUUCACUCAGUCUGUGCUCUGUAUAGAGUUCUGUACCAGAAUAUUUUCUUUCUCUGAAAUUGGUCGGCAAGAGUUCCUGCUCCGACCUUUGUUUGGAAGGGAGGAACUUUAGUUGUACCACCAGGUCUGCUGAUACCUGAUCUGUGGCCUAGCUUUCUUGAGGAUUCAAGUCCAGCAUUAGCUUCCUGAAUUACCAUAUCAAGUAGCAAGGAAGGGACAGAACUAAAGCAGGUGUCAUAUUGCAGUCACUGGCAGCCAUUACAACAUCUGCCUUGCUCUUGUUUUGUACUUUUUUAUAUAAUCACACACAGUUCCCUGCAAACUGCUUGAGAAUCUAUCUAGUGUUCCUGUAAGCUUAAACCACCUGCUUCAAAUGACAUUUUAGCAAGUUUUAGUCAUUAUUUUCUCAGUCUUUCUUCACUGUCAAAAAUAAAAACAACUCCCCCCUAAACUAACCUGAACAGAAACCUAGGACUUUUAAAAAUAAAAGCAAAUAGUCCCCUCCACUCUUAAAGGAUUUGAGAAUGUUGAAUCCAUUUUCCAAAUCUGCUAAGAUGCUUAACAUUUAUGAGGGUGGGGUAAGAGAGAUGGUUUGGAAAUAUUACUGCAUGAUAUUAUGUUCUGAAACAUAAUAUGUAACAAAUUCUUAUUUAGGCAUUUUCUGACAUGAUUUUUUUUUUUUAGGUCUAGCUAUUGUUAUGACUGUUGACCAAUAGUUCUUUUGUUAGGCAGAUUGCUGGCUAACAAUAAAAGAUGGCUGUUGAUGUUUCAUCAAUGGGUGCUAAUAGUUAGGAGAUGGCCUCCUGAUAUUUGAAGCAACCUCUCUGGGAUUUUUUUGAAUGACAUACCCCCAACAGAGGGGGCGUGGGUGGCGCUGUGGUCUAAACCACAGAGCCUAGGGCUUGCCGAUCAGAUUUGAAUCCCUGAGAUGGGGUGAGCCCCCGUUGCUCAGUCCCUCCUCCUGCCAACCUAGCAGUUCGAAAGCACACCAAAAAAAAAAGUGCAAGUAGAUAAAUAGGUACUGCUCCGGCGGGAAGGUAAACGGUGUUUUCAUGUGCUGCUCUGGUUCGCCAGAAGCGGCUUAGUCAUGCUGGCCACAUGACCCGGAAGCUGUACACUGGCUCCCUCGGCCAAUAAAGUGAGAUGAGCGCCGCAACCCCAGAGUCGGCCACGACUGGACCUAAUGGUCAGGGGUCCCUUUACCUUUACCCCCAACAGACCUUGCAGAAGGUGUCACCCCUCACAAGGGCUAAGGUUGUGGGUGGGUGGGUGGCUGGGUGUGAGAGAAAGAAAGAGAACAAGCAGUAUCUGCCUUGUAGGACUUCUCUUUCACAUUCAUUUAUGCUCUGCUUUUAGCUUUGCACAUCAAGCAAAUGUUACAAAGGUACCGUAAGUAUUCAGUGCUCUAUUAUCCAAAAGAAAUUAAACCAAUAUUGUUGCCCCUGGAACUUUUUACAGCUCAAAAAUUGUGAGACAUGCAAUAGUUUUAUGCUAUUACCUUAAUUUGUGAAAAGAUUUAAACUGAAACUAAGAGCAACAUAUUGUAAAAAAAAUAAUACUUAUUCAGAAAGCAUAUGCUUAAAAAUGGGGUUCAUUACCUUGCAGUUGUGUUCCUUACAACUUUUGUAUAAGGUUUAGUACUGUUAACCUGAAUUUUUGUGAAAUACAAAAAAGAUUAAAAGUCUAGAAUCAGAAAUGGAGUAGGAAAAAGGUGUGGCCUUGACUGAGGGGCAGGGAGAAAGCUUAGGAAAGAACAGGGAUGUUCCUAUGCCAUCAGAUGGAAGGGCCUGUGUUUAGGACCGGUUAGGAAAAAGUGGAGGUGUCUGUAACAGUGGGUGGAAGCAAGCUACUGCCAGAGGGCUUUCCAGCAGACUCUGCUUAAUGUUGUUAAUCCUAUACUGUACUCUCUUACCUGGGAUUAGUUACUCUUAUUAGUUGUUUUGCUUACCAGGGGCCCGGUGUUUCUGUGUUAUCAACACAUAUCCUCCUAUAUGAGUAAAUAUGUUUCCGUAAUAUGAUCUGUUACUUCAGAAGCAUUUUUAUUUGCAUGUAGCACACUUUAAAAAUACACACAGAUGUCCUGACUAGAGGCAGUGUGACACUAAAAGUUAAGGAACAUAAGCAAAAGCUACUUAGCACCCCCAACACACACUAACAUUUUAAGCUGUUUGUAACAACUUAAAUAAACUUCCUUGAUUGGAUUUAUGCUAAUGGAUCUCCUUUAGGCAUUUCUAAUUCAUUUACAUUUAAUUUUAAGGUUGCCUCUGUGUGUGUUUCCAAUUCAAACUAAUACCAUUAACAGAUAAAAUGAAAGUGUGUAACAGGUCAGAAGCCACAAGAUGGCAAUAGUUGAAGAGCAAUUUGCUUCAAGAAGGAGUUGGAUUGUGGAUACUACAGUGAGAUUACUCCUACUAUGUUAUUUAUAUAGUGCCCAUCAUCUGUAGCUAGAAAGGCACUUUCUGUAAUUAAAUGUAAUUUUAUUUUCUGUACUGAUGGGAAAAGGAGGAAAUGGAGGUGAAGGGAUCUAUCAAAGGUGUGUGGCAGAGGAAUGCAUAGCACACACAUCUCCUUGCAGAGAAGAAUAUUGGACCAAAUAUGGUGGACUGAGAAACCCAAAUUUUAGGUCCCUUCAUGUCCCUAUUUUGAACACAAAGUUACUCCUAUGUCAGUUCCAAGAAGUACAAAACAGGAAAUGGGUAUCUAGUGGAUGUUUGUAUGUUAAAAAGUCUUUAAGGGGCCAUCAAAUGGAUGUUUAGAUACUAUCUCCAAUCCAAGGGCCAGUCUUAAAGUAUGGAAUGGAAUGUAAAACAAUUACUGAAAUGCACUUCACCUUGGGGUGCCUUUGAAAAGUGUUUCAAAAUUACAGCAAUAUCAGAAUGAAAUGGACACACUGUUAAUAAAAUGUGUCUUAUAGAAUGAAUAACACUCAGAAGCAGUUGCUUUGAAGGUUGUUGUUUUCAAUCAAGCAGUAUAUAAAUUUUAUGAAAUAAAUACAAAUAAUCUAGUUUUCCAUUCUCCUUUCACACUUUUCCACCACCCACCCCUGGGUGCUGGUUUCUUUUAUUCCUCCUCCCUUGUCCCUUGACAUUAUCUCCUUCCUCCUAUAACAACUUUCCUGUCUUAUCCCCCUUUUGAGUAGCUGCUAGGACUUGAAUAGCAGCUAGGACUUCCUACUCAGGUAAGACUAAGGUUCCAUGUAAUUCUCACUUAACCAAGGAGGGAGCCCCCCAGAGAUGGGAGGGAAGACUAGGCAUGGGCAAUGCAAAAAAUAUGCACAUGUGGAUGCAUUGAACUGCUGUGCAGUCACACAAUAAGAGCAACUAAUCCCUGGAUGCAGCUGUCCUUCACCCCAACCAAAUUUGGAUCUGAUCAUGUCCAUGCCAGAAGGGACAUUAAAAAUAUGUAUAUUUUGUUUUAUUUUUCUAAACAACAAAACAGAUAAUACACAC